rnacentral:rRNA from 1 species
GCCCCUAGCGAGCUGGUACAUGGCCCGUACCCCAAACCGACACAGGUGGUCAGGUAGAGAAUACUAAGGCGAUCGAGAGAACUGUGGUUAAGGAACUCGGCAAAAUGCCCCCGUAACUUCGGGAGAAGGGGGACCAGUCCUGGUGACGACAUUUACUGUCUGAGCUGGGGUUGGUCGCAGAGACCAGAGAGAAGCGACUGUUUACUAAAAACACAGGUCCGUGCGAAGUCGUAAGACGAUGUAUACGGACUGACGCCCCGGUGCUGGAAGGUUAAGAGGACCGGUCAGCCACUUCGGUGGCGAAGCUGAGAAUUUAAGCCCCAGUAAACGGCGGUGGUAACUAUAACCAUCCUAAGGUAGCGAAAUUCCUUGUCGGGUAAGUUCCGACCUGCACGAAUGGCGUAACGACUUCUCUGCUGUCUCAACCACAGACUCGGCGAAAUUGCAGUACGAGUAAAGAUGCUCGUUACGCGCGGCAGGACGAAAAGACCCCGGGACCUUCACUAUAGCUUGGUAUUGGUGUUCGGUUCGGUUUGUGUAGGAUAGGUGGGAGACUGUGAAACUCGCACGCCAGUGUGGGUGGAGUCAUUGUUGAAAUACCACUCUGACCGUAUUGGACAUCUAACCUCGGACCAUGAUCUGUUCAGGGACAGUGCCUGGUGGGUAGUUUAACUGGGGCGGUUGCCUCCCAAAAAGUAACGGAGGCGCCCAAAGGUUCCCUCAGCCUGGUUGGCAAUCAGGUGUUGAGUGUAAGUGCACAAGGGAGCUUGACUGUGAGACGUACAUGUCGAGCAGGGACGAAAGUCGGGACUAGUGAUCCGGCACCGGCAAGUGGAAGCGGUGUCGCUCAACGGAUAAAAGGUACCCCGGGGAUAACAGGCUGAUCUUCCCCAAGAGUCCAUAUCGACGGGAUGGUUUGGCACCUCGAUGUCGGCUCGUCGCAUCCUGGGGCUGGAGUAGGUCCCAAGGGUUGGGCUGUUCGCCCAUUAAAGCGGCACGCGAGCUGGGUUUAGAACGUCGUGAGACAGUUCGGUCUCUAUCCGCCGCGCGCGUAAGAAACUUGAGGAAACCUGUCCCUAGUACGAGAGGACCGGGACGGACGAACCUCUGGUGUGCCAGUUGUUCCACCAGGAGCACCGCUGGUUAGCUACGUUCGGAAGGGAUAACCGCUGAAAGCAUCUAAGCGGGAAGCCUGUUCCAAGAUGAGGUUUCUCACCACCUAGCGUGGUUAAGGCCCCCCACAGACCAUGGGGUUGAUAGGCCAGAACUGUAAGCACAGCAAUGUGUUCAGGUGACUGGUACUAAUCGGCCGAGGACUU